AACGAACGCUGGCGGCAGGCUUAACACAUGCAAGUCGAACGCCCCGCAAGGGGAUUGGCAGACGGGUGAGUAACGCGUGGGAACAUACCCUUUCCUGCGGCAUAGCUCCGGGAAACUGGAAUUAAUACCGCAUACGCCCUACGGGGGGAAGAUUUAUCGGGAAAGAAUUGGCCCGCGUUGGAUUAGCUAGUGGGUGGGGUAAAGGCCUACCAAGGCGACGAUCCAUAGCUGGUCUGAGAGGAUGAUCAGCCACAUUGGGACUGAGACACGGCCCAAACUCCUACGGGAGGCAGCAGUGGGGAAUAUUGGACAAUGGGCGCAAGCCUGAUCCAGCCAUGCCGCGUGAGUGAUGAAGGCCUUAGGGUUGUAAAGCUCUUUCACCGAUGAAGAUAAUGACGGUAGUCGGAGAAGAAGCCCCGGCUAACUUCGUG
rnacentral:rRNA from 1 species